UACGUAGGUGGCAAGCGUUGUCCGGAUUUACUGGGCGUAAAGGGCGCGUAGGCGGCCUUCUAAGUCGGACGUGAAAUCCCUCGGCUUAACCGAGGAACUGCGUCCGAUACUGAAAGGCUUGGAUCCGGGAGAGGGAUGUGGAAUUCCAGGUGUAGCGGUGAAAUGCGUAGAUAUCUGGAGGAACACCGGUGGCGAAGGCGGCAUCCUGGACCGGCAUUGACGCUGAGGCGCGAAAGCUAGGGGAGCAAACGGG
rnacentral:rRNA from 1 species